UACGUAGGGUGCGAGCGUUAAUCGGAAUUACUGGGCGUAAAGCGUGCGCAGGCGGCUUUGCAAGACAGAUGUGAAAUCCCCGGGCUCAACCUGGGAACUGCAUUUGUGACUGCAGGGCUAGAGUGCGGCAGAGGGGGAUGGAAUUCCGCGUGUAGCAGUGAAAUGCGUAGAUAUGCGGAGGAACACCAAUGGCGAAGGCAAUCCCCUGGGCCUGUACUGACGCUCAUGCACGAAAGCGUGGGGAGCAAACAGG
rnacentral:rRNA from 1 species